AUACACUCACACAGUCUUACAUACACAAGGAUGUAUAAACACACAGCACAUACACCUACACAGAGCACACACCUACACUUAACAUACACACACACACACACACACAUGCAGAUGCAAGUGUGGGACUGCCCAUCAAGUCUGAUAUGUAGUAGUCAGUCUGGAGUGAGCAGCGAGACUCGAUGUCUCAGAGUAGAAGAGAUGUGGUGUUUCUCUUGGGACAAUGCUUAGCCGGGCAUGGUGUGUAUUUUCAGGGAUGGGUUGCUUCAAGGACUUCUAUCCAUCAUUGUAUAUGAGGCAUGUAGGGACACAGCAUCUGAUACCCAACAGUACAUGUGGACCGUUCCCAGGACUAUUGUCCGGCUCAGACUGACACCUAGAAGUGUCUCCGGGCAAAUAGGAAAGAUCAUCAUGGCGUGCAAACUUGCAUCAUAGGCUGGGAGCUGGAGGAUCAGAGCCUGAGGCUACUUCAUGAGGGGGAGGAGAGGGUUCCUAAAUGCGCUGGUACCUAGCAGUAUAUGGGGGUGGGCGUGGGUGCUGUCCUCUAAGACCUGAUACUUCACCAUUUUGAGUCAGUGCAGGGGGCUGGUGAGCAGUCACUAAUGCUGGCUCUCUAUGAGGGACAUGGAAGGUGUGGCAGGGGUGAAUCUAACCAGGCCUGACAUCUAGUAGUGCAGGUGAGGUCAGGGGGGAGCAGUGGGAACAAAUGGUAAUAUUGUCCAUCACAGUCCUUCAAGAGAUCACUAGCACUUACGUUGUCCUAAGGGUCCUACCCUGGCACCUCCCUGCUCUUAUUCAAAAUAGCAAUUAACACUUUGUACCAGCUUUUGAUACGGUAGAUUGUUUUUGUUUAGGUCCUGAGAUUCAGGUGAUAAAAAGGCUGUUUACUGACUAACCAUGUCCAGAUAUUAUUAAUCGCACUUAAGAAAUGUAAAAUAAUACACGUAUUCUCUGCCUUUUUCUUAGAUCCUGCAGUGGUUUAGUUUUUUCUCUUUUGUAACCUGUAGCGGCCCCUUAAAGAGAAGGCCAGAACCUCCCCACAGCUGGAGCUGUGGUUAGACACAAACUAGCUGCUAAGUUUGCUGUGUAUCUUCAAAGAAUGCCCAUGUCCCUGAGAACCUUCCUUGUUUGUUUGUUUUUUUAAAAUAUUAUCAGCAAGCUAUUAAUGAAUGGAUAUACUAUAUGUAUAUGUUUGGAAGUUUGUAAUGGCAGGAGAAUAAAGAGCGUGACUCAAACAGCGUGUGUGUGUUGAGUGUGUGUGUGUGUGUGUGUGUGUGUGUGUGUGUGAGUUCAUCCUGUGACAUCUUAGGUUAGAAAUGUCCUAAGUCCCUUUCCCUGUGCUGAGGCAACUGACCUGAACCUUGGCAGGAAGUCAGUAGGGCCGGACUCUGCUGUCUCCCAAAACCAAACUCUUGAUAAUAGAAGAGACUCUUGAAAUUGGGAUCUAGAACUAAUCAUUUCGAUUUGGGGUUCAUCGUUCUCAGGCGUUUUGUGACAACGACAGAAGCUAUCGCAGUGACAAUGCUGAAAAGACUAAACUACACCGGAGGAGACAGAGAGGCAGUGGCCAGGCGAUGGGAGCAAGCUCGGGAGCAUCACCAACCUGCCUAGGCAGCCAGGACAAGUGUGAAGCAGCCCAUGGAAGCUCUUGCGGCCACAGUGGUUCCAUGAAGAGCCAGUGAAGUCGUGCAGGGCCCGGCUGAUGUUGAAAGUUCAUAGAACAGCUGGUUGAUUGUAGAGGACGCAGUUCCAUAAGAACAGCAGUGCACAGUAACGGGGUGUAUCAACACCAGCUGCGACACUCAUUGUUUGAUCUGUGUGUUCCCACCGGAACUAGCGUGAAGGUGCUGUCACGGCAAACUCCAUGUGCUCUGUCUGCAGGAAAGACCAAAGUCAAGCUGGAACCCAGUUGGAAGCUUUUUCCCUGCUGGCUUGCUUUCCUAGAGCUGGAAUGUACUUUGCAGGCUCUGGGACAGAAAAAUAGCAAACAAGUUUAACUCAACACUGGACCCUAUGUGCUACACGACCGACCCGCUGAGCCAUAUGCCACCAGAGUAAUAGUUUCAUGACCAUUAAGGGAAUAGCCAGAUGCUUUUGACUGGAUUUGAGGCUAGCUCUUCUUAAGGAGAUUCACACCUGGUACUAAAAACUAUUCAAUAGACUGGGGAGCCGCUAGGCCUUAUUGUGGAAGAUUCUACUGUUGUUUUGCUAAGCAGACAUGCUGUGACUGGCAAAUUGCUUUCUUAAUUUUUACAUCUAUGACAAUCCCUGGGGCUACUCUCAGCUUUGGUCACAGAAGCUAUUUUUUUUUUCAGUUAGUGGCAAUUGCAGAGACUCAUAAUUGGUCAAAGUGUUCAGAAUUGGUGAAGACUCAAAACUAAAUGGGACAUUGAGUCAUCCCAAGGGUCAGGGAACAAUGCGGGAGAGGAAAUGGAAAGAAGAGACAGUAGAGGUGGUGGGGGUUUAUGGACCUCUGUCUUCAGGCAGCGUCAUGCUCCACACUCAUGAGUCUGGAGCAGCACCUGCGCAAGCCUGGGCGCCUCAGCGUAGUGUCAUGGUGUUUCUACCUGGUUCAUGAUCAGAGAGGCUUCUGGCUGAGGAAUUAUUGUUAACGCAGAGACUCAUGGCGGGUCAAGGUACUAGGAGCAAGCACUCAGUCUUAAAUGGGACACCCAUUCCCCUCCGUCUGAGGCUCAGAAUAUUGCAGAAGAUGGCGAGGAAAGAUUGUGAGAGCCAGACAGUGAGGAGGGAGGCUGUGAAUAGUGUCUUCAAGGGAAUGGCAUGAGCAUUGUUCUCAUGAACUCCAAGCAGUUGCAGUUGCCUGAGAGGGCCUCCACAAGACUGAGCCCCUAAACUUCCAUUCCCCGCCGGAGCGCUAUGUGAAGUGCCAGUUGCUGAAACCUCCACUGCUGUGGUCUUAGGAUGCAGGGAAAUGAAGGUGAAAUUGAGCUGGAAGCUUUCUCCCGGCUGGCUAGCUCUGAUCGUGCCAGAAUAUGCUGCGAAGGCUCCGAGGGGAAGAAGUCAUCAACAGGCUUAUGAAGCUCCUGACCCUCUAAUGACCUGCCAAGCAAUAUGCCCACCGCUGGAGUAAAAGGGGGAUGGAAAAGAAAGCUGGAAAACUUAAGCAAGUGAUGGGGGUCUGAGCAAGUUGUAUAAGGUAUGUCAAACGUCAGAAUUCGACACAUUGUUGUCAAGGCUCUGUUUAAAUCAAUGGAGUUAUGCUCUAGGCUUAACCCUUACAGAACAAAUAUGUUUAUUUAACCAAAAUUUAAGUGUUUGGCUGUAGCUGUCACUCUGCGUGUUCUAUCACCAUCCUUGAAGGCCAUACUAAUGUGGUCAGAAGGAUUAAAAGGGAGAAUCUAUUUCCCCUUGCCCUCCAAGGUCAAGUACAGGCACAAGCAUCUUACCAGAUGUUCUUUGACUGUGAGGAAUCACCUUUUCUUUUGUUCAGAAAGACUGUGGAGACUCCACCCGCUGAAGGGGAACCAGUGUCCAAUCUACAAAGAAGAGGGUCAAUGUAGAGGGAAAAUGCCCUCUGUUUCCAAGCAAAACCAUGGCUAAGCCUUUAAAUUAUCCUCACCUGGAAUGAACACAGUUGUAAAAGGAAGGUUAGAUGGUUCUGAGGUUCCUCUCAAACCCAAGUCACCCUCAAGGACCAUAUAUCCUCAACUGGCCUUGACAAUAAAAAAUAAAGAAAUAAGUAAAUGUAGUUAUGUCCACUUGCAUGGUCUUAAACACCCAGCAGGAAAAUAUAACCAAAGAAUAAAAUGGUUGACUGGUGUGUUUCUUUAACAGUUGAAGGAACCACACUCCCUAGACAUUAGGUUUAAAACCAUAUGAGAUGUUGUUUAGACAGCUAUUUCUCAUUGGCAAUUUUCUUCUUGGUAACAAAAAAUGUUGCCCAGAUAUCAGAUGUCAUGACCUUGACUCAAUCCCACACUGCUGUGUCUACCUGCCAUCAAGAGAGACAAGUGCCCUAUUGUUGUAAGGAUCCUUUGAUUUCCGAGAUACAUUUCUUUUCUCUCUCCUUUAGAAGCCAUAUCAGAGAGACCCCACUGUGAUUCUGGUCACUCCAACAGUUAUCAAGGUAUCUGGAAACAGAUCCUGGGUUCAUCAUGCUCCAUAUCAGCCUUGGAUCAGUUGCUACUAUGUGGGGCUUUUCUGAAAAUGCUCACCUACAUUGGUCUGUAAUGUGGUAGCCUAGUAUUUGCCUCUCUACUCCUUCAGUCCUGCUUGUACAGGUGGCCCUUUAGAAGCAGCCAUAUUGUCUGCCAAAACAAGACUGCCUCCAGGAGCCUGCCUACCUCACGGGAGUUCCCUCUCUCUUGGACUGACACCCCCAUUACUACGCCCCCUCACAGCAUGAAGCAGCUAGAGUGAUCAUCACCCCCUUUCCUGACAAUAAUUGGUGUCAGUCUCUGAGGGCGGGAAUAAAGGAAAGUUAGAUGGUCGUAGGUAGACUAGGAACGGAAGAGCAGGCUUCCUGAGACGGCUGCUGCUUAUUCCCAGAAGACAUUGUGAGGAACAAUGGCAAGAAGAUGUGGGAGCUGAAAUGAGGGGAGGGAUAAUGACAUGCAGACCCUAGAUAGUACCCAUCAGAUCCCUCGAGAGGACGCCUAGCCUUUGGUAUCUCCUGUUCUGAAGGAAUAAAGCUGUUGCUUUCACUUUC